rnacentral:rRNA from 1 species
UACGUAGGGUGCGAGCGUUAAUCGGAAUUACUGGGCGUAAAGCGUGCGCAGGCGGUUAUGUAAGACAGUUGUGAAAUCCCCGGGCUCAACCUGGGAAUUGCAUCUGUGACUGCAUAGCUAGAGUACGGUAGAGGGGGAUGGAAUUCCGCGUGUAGCAGUGAAAUGCGUAGAUAUGCGGAGGAACACCGAUGGCGAAGGCAAUCCCCUGGACCUGUACUGACGCUCAUGCGACGAAAGCGUGGGGAGCAAACAGG